ensembl:rRNA 5S_rRNA 5S ribosomal RNA
GAAUGUUGUUAUUUUCUCACCCUAAACGUGCCUGAUCUCAUCUAAUCUCAGAACCAGGCAGGGUCGGGCCUGGUUAGUACUUGGAUGGGAGACCUCCUGGGACUACCCGGUGCUGUAUGCU